UUUGGAGGAAGAUCUGAAGCUUCAUGUUUCUUGGCAAAGAGAACAGUUGAAUAUAGAUCCUAAUGACAGAACCCUUCAAUGGAACGUAGCUCGCUGUUUAGGAUGUUUAUAAAGUAAAUGCUAAUUACAAAUUUAAGUCUGUAUCUAAGGGAGAAAAAAAACAAUACUCAUAAAUUUGAACUCUGGCCCCAAAAUAAUAGUGUAAUUUAUUGCCUGUCACAUGGUUUUUGGACAAUCCUCCUCCCACUUCUAAAAUUGUUUAAUGUUGAACACUAAGGAACAGACCCUGGAGAUCUGUCCUCCUUAACUUGUUAAUGCGAAUAUUUCAAUAAGAAACUGCUCUGUUUUCUGGCAUCUAUUG
rnacentral:lncRNA from 1 species